GACGAACGCUGGCGGCGUGCUUAACACAUGCAAGUCGAACGAGAAUCUACUGAAGGGGGAUUCGUCCAACGGAAGUAGAGGAAAGUGGCGGACGGGUGAGUAACGCGUGAGGAACCUGCCUUGAAGAGGGGGACAACAGUUGGAAACGACUGCUAAUACCGCAUGAAGCAUAGGGGUCGCAUGAUUCUUAUGCCAAAGAUUUAUCGCUUCAAGAUGGCCUCGCGUCUGAUUAGCUAGUUGGCGGGGUAACGGCCCCACCAAAGGCGACGAUCAGUAGCCGGACUGAGAGGUUGAACGGCCACAUUGGGACUGAGAUAACGGCCCACGACUCCUACGGGAGGC
rnacentral:rRNA from 1 species